rnacentral:rRNA from 1 species
CUUUGAUGAAGUUUUCGGAUGGAUUUAAAACAGCUUAGUGGCGGACGGGUGAGUAACGCGUGGGUAACCUGCCUCACACGUGGGGGAUAACAGUUAGAAAUGACUGCUAAUACCGCAUAAGCGCACGGUACCGCAUGGUACAGUGUGAAAAACUCCGGUGGUGUGAGAUGGAUCCGCGUCUGAUUAGGUAGUUGGUGAGGUAACGGCCCACCAAAGCGACGAUCAGUAGCCGGCCUGAGAGGGUGAACGGCCACAUUGGGACUGAGACACGGCCCAAACUCC